CCCUUAGAUGUUCUGGGCCGCACGCGCGCUACACUGACGAAGUCAGCGAGCAUGUCCUACGCCGACAGGUGCGGGGAAUCUUGUCAAACUUCGUCGUGAUGGGGAUUGAUUAUUGAAAUUCUUGAUCAUCAACGAGGAUUUCCUAGUAAGCGCAAGUCAGCAGCUUGCGUUGAUUACGUCCCUGCCCUUUGUACACACCGCCCGUCGCUACUACCGAUUGAAUGGUUUAGUGAGAUCUUCGGAUUGGCGCCACUGCGGCUCAGCAAUGGGCUCGGUGGAUGCCGAAAAGUUGAUCAAACUUGAUCAUUUAGAGGAAGUAAAAGUCGUAACA
rnacentral:rRNA from 1 species